ACAAGGGCGGGUCUUCGCCGACACCAUAGAGGUGGGCCUUUGGCGACGUCAGAGGCGCGGGUGUUCGGCUGCGUCACUGGGGCGCUAUGGUGCCUGGAGCUGGGCAGUUUUCUCGUCAGAGUGGGGACUGGUAAGAGCGACCUCCCCGCCAGGUCCUGUGUGUUGCCGGCUGAAGAAGGGUAGCUGAAAAAUUCAGACCCAGCACAGUGUUUAUGUUGGUCAAAAAUAGAAAACUAUGUCUGGCGCGGCCGAGGCGGGAGGACCCUUCAGGCCAAGAGCAGCGUAGCAACAUGGCGCAACCCCAUCUCUGUAGUCCUACCUCAGCCCCCCAGCUACUUGAACCCAAAGGUUCAAGGCUCCAGUGAGCUAUGAUCCCACCACAGCAUUCCAGCCUGCGAGAUUGAGAUGAUGAUUAUUCCCCACCUUCUAAGAGACAAAGACCAACGAGCCACCACAGCCACCAGUCCCAGAACCCGCCAAUGCUGGGGAACGGAAAAUGAGGGAGUUCAACUCUGAGAAAUGGAAUCAUCGUAUCGCUGAUCUACGUAAACAAACUGAAGAAUUGUCUGAAAGAAAAUAUGACAUGAACUUAUGAAUUCAACAGGUGAAGAUUUACAACUUGAUAAAUCAACUUUGUGAGCUCGAGCUGUAAAAGCCAAAGGUCUGGUGAUGAUCCCAUACCCUUUUUUCCAGUCUCAUGUUGAAGAUUUUUAUGUAGAAGGCCUUCCCAAAGGAAUUUUUUUUUUUUUUUUUUUUUGAGAUGGAGUUUUCACUCUUAUCGCCCAGGCUGGGGUGCAAUGGCGCAACCUUGCUGGUCACUGCAACCUCUGCCUCCUGGGUUCAAGAAAUUCUCCUGCCUUAGCCUCCCAAGUCGCUGGGAUUAUAGGUGCCCACCACCACACCAGGCUAAUUUUUGUAUUUUUAGUGGAGAUGGGGUUUCACCAUGUUGGCCGGGCCAGUCUCGAACUCCUGAUGUCAAGUGAUCUUCCCGCCUCGACUCCUGACAUCAAGUGAUCUUCCCGCCUCGGCCUCCCAGAGUGCUGAGAUUACAGACGUGAACCCAUGCCUGGCCAGGAAUUUUGUUUUUUAGGAAGGCUUUCUACUAAUGGAAUUCCUGGCCUUGAGAGGAUGUUACUUUCGAAGGAAAGGAUUUUUUUGUUAUUAAAAGAGCCACCUAAGCUGAAGAUUCCCUUGAGAACAAGUACUGUCCUGCGGUUUCAUGGCCUUUCUUCCAUUUGUGGUUCUUGUGAAGUGGAAUUUAAAUGACAUCUUAUCAAGAUGGAUAAACCCUAGUUUCCCAGUGCUGGAAUAUAGAAAAUGGAUGGACAAGUAAAUCCCACUCAGCACCCAUAGUCCAGGCAUGGGGACCUCAACACACCUGAGCACCAGACAUCACCUUUCAUUCUGGAUCUACCAUGAAAGACUUCUGAAUCCAGGAAGAGAGACUGACUGGGCAACAUGUUAUUCAGGGUCUCCCUCUGUUGUCCAAGGCUGGAGUGUAGUAGUGCUAUCACAGCUGACUGCAGCCUCAACCUUCUAGGCUGAAGCGAUCCUCCCAUCUCAACCUCCCACGUGGCUGAGACUACAGGUGCUUGCCACUAUGCCCAACUAAUAUUUGGAAUUUUCGUAUACGUGGAUUCCAGAGGGGUGACAGCGAAAUUAGGUGACCUCACAGUGACUCAAGCUACCACUUACUGUUGAUUGUGACGAAAUGCCAGCUGAGGCACAUGCCUUGGGAGCUAAGUGGUUGCUGCACUUGACCACUGUGAAGACUGGUGUGGGAAGAAGGGUCGUUUCUGAUGCACUUGAGCAGGGGUCCCCAACCCCUGAGCCAUGGAGCCGCAAGGAGCCACACAGCAGGAGGUGGGACCAUCCAGUUGCAGGAAAACAAGCUUAACACGCCCACUGAUUCUACAUUAUGCUCCUACCUCCCGGCAGCCUCUCCAGGCCCAGAACUUUCUCCAGUCAGCCUCUACAGACCAAGCUCAUGACUCACAAUGGCCUAUUUAGGCCCAUACCCUACCUCACGGCAGUCUCCGCAGAUGAGCCUACUGCCUCACAACAGCCUCCACAGGCACAGCUCCAUCGUUACAAUGGCCUCUUUAGACCCAGCUCCUGCCUCCCAGCCUUCUCUCCAGGCCCUGAACUUUCUCAAGUCGACCUCACCAGGCCCAGCUCAUGCUUCUUUGCAGCCUCUCCAGGCCCAACUCCUGCAUCUUGGUGGCCCCUCCAGGCCCAGCCUGUGCCUCCCGUCGGCCUCUACAAUCCCAACAUCUGCCUCACAGCAGAUUCUUCACGCCCAGCCUCUGCCUCACAGUGGACCCUCCAGACCCAGAUGGUGUCUCACUGUGGCAUCCUCAGGCGAAGCUCCUGCCUUUCAGCAGCCUCUCCAGGCCCAGCUCCUCCUGCCUCCCAGUGGCCUCUUUCGGCCCAGCCCAGCUCAUGCCUCCCGGCGGCCUUCCCAAGCCCCGCUUUUGACUUUUGGUGGCCUCUGCAGGCCUCGACAAGGCCCAGCCUCCUGCCUCCCGAAGGCCUGCACAGGCCCAGCCUCUGCCUCACAGCGGACUCUCCACGCCCAGCUAGCUCUCGCCUCACUGCGGCCUCCCCAGUCCAAAGCUCCUGCCUUUCGGCCACUUCGGCAGGUCCAGCUACUGCCUGCCAGUGGCCUCUUUAGGCCCAGCUCAUUCCUCACAACGGCCUUUCCAGGCCCCGUUUUUCCCUUCCGGCAGCCUCUUGGCUUCUAAUUUGUUUAUCUUUUGUGUAUAAAUCCCAAAAUAUGGAAUUUUGGAAUAUUUCCACCAUUAUAUAUUUUGGUCGGUAAUUUAUUUGGAGUGAGUUUCUGCACCAUGCCCGAAUUUUUUAUUUUAUUUUCCUUAUUAUUUGGUGUUAAACAGGUUUAAUGACAGUCAUGGCAACUUUUUGGCACAAUGAAAAAUAUCGCCCAUGA
rnacentral:lncRNA from 1 species